CUUGUGAGGAUUGGAGACUAGUUGAUUCUAAAAAGAAGUUUGAGUUAUGGACAAAAGUGAAGGAAUACUAUGAAGUGGAUGAAUCUGGUAUAGAUUAUGUUAUAACAUCUGCAGCAAAAAAGUGGAGAGAGUUUAAGGCUGACCUAAAGAACAAAUAUUUUGAUGAAACAUUGAGUUUUGAAGAGCUUAUUGCUAAAAGGGAUGAAAGGGUGAAAGAAUCUGAUUAGGAGUGGUUGAUAACUUAUUGGAUGUCUCCAGAAGCCGAGGUUCGUACAAACAGAGGCCGAGCAACAAGGACGCCCUGCGAGAAGAGAUGAAAUAUAUGUUAGAACACAC